rnacentral:RNase_P_RNA from 1 species
CGAGCUGGCCGGGCGGUCGCGGCGGGCUCGGUGACGGGCCCGUCGAGGAAAGUCCGGACUCCUCAGGGCAGGGUGGUUGCUAACGGCAACCCGGGGUGACCCGCGGGACAGUGCCACAGAAAACAGACCGCCCCGCGUGAGCGGGGUAA